UACGAAGGGGGCUAGCGUUGCUCGGAAUCACUGGGCGUAAAGCGCACGUAGGCGGAUUGUUAAGUCAGGGGUGAAAUCCUGGAGCUCAACUCCAGAACUGCCUUUGAUACUGGCGAUCUCGAGUCCGGGAGAGGUGAGUGGAACUGCGAGUGUAGAGGUGAAAUUCGUAGAUAUUCGCAAGAACACCAGUGGCGAAGGCGGCUCACUGGCCCGGUACUGAC
rnacentral:rRNA from 1 species